rnacentral:rRNA from 1 species
GACGAACGCUGGCGGCGUGCUUAACACAUGCAAGUGGAGCGACGAACCGGGCUUCGGCCCGGGGCAAAGCCGCGAACGGGUGAGUAUCACGUGGGUAACCUGCCCCGAUGACCGGGAUAACCCGAGGAAACUCGAGCUAAUACCGGAUGUGCUCCCAAUCCAUCAGGGUUGGAAGUAAAGGAAGCUUCGGCCUCCGCAUUGGGAUGGGCCCGCGGCCCAUUAGCUUGUUGGUGAGGUAACGGCUCACCAAGGCCACGAUGGGUAGCUGGUCUGAGAGGACGAUCAGCCACACUGGGACUGGGACACGGCCCAGACUCCUACGGGAGGCAGCAGUGGGGAAUCUUGCGCAAUGCGCGAAAGCGUGACGCAGCAACGCCGCGUGAGGGAAGAAGGCCUUCGGGUUGUAAACCUCUUUCAGGAGGGACGAAGGUUCAGGCGCGAAUAGCGUCCUGGACUGACGGUACCUCCAGAAGAAGCCCCGGCUAACUACGUGCCAGCCGCCGCGGUAAUAC